AUUGAACGCUGGCGGCAUGCUUUACACAUGCAAGUCGAACGGUAACAGGCCGCAAGGUGCUGACGAGUGGCGAACGGGUGAGUAAUGCAUCGGAACGUGCCCAGUUGUGGGGGAUAACACUUCGAAAGAAGUGCUAAUACCGCAUACGACCUGAGGGUGAAAGCGGGGGACUCGCAAGAGCCUCGCGCAAUUGGAGCGGCCGAUGUCAGAUUAGGUAGUUGGUGGGGUAAAGGCCUACCAAGCCGACGAUCUGUAGCUGGUCUGAGAGGACGACCCGCCACACUGGGACUGAGACACGGCCCAGACUCCUACGGGAGGCAGCAGUGGGGAAUUUUGGACAAUGGACGCAAGUCUGAUCCAGCCAUGCCGCGUGCAGGAAGAAGGCCUUCGGGUUGUAAACUGCUUUUGUCAGGGAAGAAAUCCCUUGGGUUAAUACCUCGGGGGGAUGACGGUACCUGAAGAAUAAGCACCGGCUAACUACGUGCCAGCAGCCGCAGUAA
rnacentral:rRNA from 1 species